rnacentral:tRNA from 1 species
GGGGCUAUAGCUCAGUUGGAAGAGCGCCUGGAUCGCACCCAGGAGGUCGCCGGUUCGAGUCCGGCUAGCUCCA